AACGCACCUUGCGCUCCCUGGUAUUCCGGGGAGCACGCCUGUUCGAGUGUCGUGAAUACCUCAAGCCGGAUGCUUUAUUGCUAUCUUGUGCUUGGAUUUGGACUUUGCCGCAAGCCUUCGAUGGCGACGGCUGGUCUUAAAUGCAUUAGCUGACCCAUGUUUUGUACACUUGGUUCUACUCGGCGUGAUAAGUUCAUGACCGUCGAGGACAUCCUCGCCCAUAAAGCGGGGGUGGCCUAGAGUGCCUUGGAUCGCUUCUAAUCGUCCCUCUGGGACAACGACUUUCAACUUUGACCUCGAAUCAGGCGGGACUACCCGCUGAACUUAA
rnacentral:misc_RNA from 1 species